CUCAAGGAAUAAUGCACGAGGGCGUUGUUGUCAUCUCCCACUCCAUGACUUUCACAAGAUACAGUAGAAGGCAUUGGAAGUAUUUUAUGGUGUUCCGAUUACUGUGAUCAAAAGCUUAAGCAGAUAAAAAACAGCCUGCGCACGCUUCACAGGCUGAUGUCUCCAGGCGCUGUUUCUGUCUUGUCUGACCCACAUGAACAAAGAAUUAAACCUAAGCGAUUCAGAUAUUAGAUGAGGCCAGAACAGACAAAAGUAGUAUUAAAUAAUAAAUUAAAAAAUAAAAUAAAAUUUUUACAGUCUAACCUUAAAAGCUGGUGUAAUUUCACUAGCUAUUUCUGAAAUGGAAGUCAAAAGCAAUGAAUAAGUAAUUUCAAUGGCUAUAUGGAUUUCAGUCACAGCAUGUAUUUUUCUCCUGAAGUAGCAUACACGUGUUUCUAAAUAUGCUCCUGUUUAGAUUCUAGGUUUCAGUUUUCUGUUUUGGAAAUGUGCACUGUCAAGUUACUUUAUAGCUAAGAAGCCAAGUCAGCAAAUCCUUUUGUGAAACUGAAACUCAGACAAUGAUUCCAGCAAAGUGCUGAGCUGAUUAAUUAGUGUGGCAGUGCAGGAGGGACUACCGUGCUGGCAAAGAAUAAGAUGUAAGGCCAGAUGCCACUGUCAGACCUGCACUAUGAUACUCUGAAAUGUAUUAUAUUAAGAUGUGUCAAUGUACUCAAUUACUUCUGCAAUAAAUUGAGACCAUGAGCAAUAAUUCCAUUUUUGAAAAAAAAAAAAAAAAGGCAGCUCAUAAAAAGGGUCACAUUUGAAAAAAAAAAAUUGGCCAAGCUGGCAAAGCAUUUUUUCAUCAAAUGCCAUCUUAAAGUGAACAUUGAUUACUGUUCCAGAUACACAGGCAGAAAAACAUGCGGAGGUUUUGCUGAAAUGACCCAAGAUCAUUUGUCCCAACUCUGGGGAAAGGGCCCUUCCUGCAGGGGAGCAGCAGCAAAUAGCCUGGGAAAGGCCACGACUUCAGCCAUGCAGCUCCUUGCUACGGGGAAGUAGCAAGGAAGCUCCCCCAAGAUGCACUGGUGAUGGUCUCCUGUGCUCAAGAAAGAAUCACUUCAGCUGGUACAGAGAAGGGACACCAAGAAAACUGGGAGCCCAUUUUACAAGGGCAGACUUUAAAAGUUUGACUCAUUUACUCCAGCAAGAUCAUGAUCUCUAAGUGCACCUUGGGGACGGCCAGAAAAUGGGAGAACAGAUGGGGGACAUCAGUGAAGGAGAAGUGCUACUUAAGCUAAUAGACAAUGCUGGCUUAAGAACAAAUGGCUAAUAAUUGGCCAUAAAUAAAUUUAGGGUAAGAGUCAGAAUAAAAUUCCCAGCCUUCAUAGGAUCCAGCUCUGGAAGAGCCCCUCUAAGAGUGGUAUAGGCUAAAACUCCACAGUUAAUGAAAGAACUUUUGAAAAGGAUGCUCGAUGUACUGUGUUUGGAAUAGGAAACACCACUAGCACAUCCAAGGCACCUUCAACUCACACUCUGACAUGUGUAGUACACUUAGAAGGAUCUGUUGCAGUUACAUCGCAAAGCAGUGUUGAAUUUAAAUGAUUACCUACUCCAGAAAGAUAAAACAGCGCUCCCGACCUUCAUCAGAGGGUCUCUGCGCUUCUUCCAACUGAAUGGCAGCUACAGCUCUGGGGAACUUUAUAUGGAUUUUCAGCAGUCCCUGGCAGACUUUUGGUCUGUGUGCCAAUUACUGGCUUCCAAAAUUUCACCUGAGAUUUAAAACUGCACACAAAGCCAGAUCUGUCCCCAAACCCCUUUCAACACGAAUAUACUGAGAUGUUUACUUGACAUUGUCAAACAAUUUGAAACUUCAGGCCCCUGAGAUGAGCAAAUGGGCUCAGUUUCUUUUUAACCGCUUUAUUUCAUCAUGUCUAAGCAAACAUAACAAACCGGGGAAAUGCUUAUCUGAGACGUGAGACAGGCUGAGGCAUGUGUGCAAUGUGACAGAAAAGUGAAGUCUUCCAUUUGAAGAAGGAAAUAAUCAGAACAAGCAGCAACUGAGGACCAGACACUUUUGAGAGGCUCUGGCUCAUGAAAAUGAGUUGCCAGCAGGAAGCUGCUCCAAAACACCUCCAGAAGUCUGAGCUAUUUCACCACUGCCAUAGGCCAAAUUCUAGAAGCGCUCAACUCAUAGAUAUAACUUCAAUUAAAUGACUCACAGAAACCAAGUGAAUUACGUGCACAGUGUUUUCUGGAUCAGAUCCUAAGGCUACAAUCAGUUUCUACUGAGAAGCCCUUUUUAGUUCAAUAUGUUCUGUUUGGAAAAUUGAUUUUACAUAAAUACUGCUUGAAUUAUACCAGCAACAAAGGAGAUUCUGCAGAAUAUGAAGAAAAUCCAUCACACUGCUUUUUAGUUAAAGUUGCUCAUGGGCACUUUCCCUGUUGCCAGUGCUUCUGUGUUCCUUCCCCAGCUUUGCAAUGUGCUCCAGCGAUCCCGAGUGCAUCCUCUAUUCCCUUCAGAAGCACCUACCUGCUCCUGGCAUGAACAUGCUGCACAGACUGCCACAGCUCCUCUGUGCUCUGAGAUUUAUGGAAGACAUCCCUGUUGGUGACUACGCCAAGUCACCAUUUUUCUUCUGGCUUUGAGAGCAACCCUUCUACAAACUAUGUGCAGCAAAUCUGGUGUGUCUUCAUCAUUAUUUAAUGUAAUCGAUUGUUAACGACGUGCUUCACUGAGUAGUGGAGGGAAAAGUAAGUGAAAAGAAACCCAACAGAUAAAAAGAGCAUGACUCAGAGCCUUGCACGAAAAGUAAAUUCAGAUUUCAGCGUACAGCUUCUGGAAGUUUUAAAUUAUAAUGCAAGCUCUUCUUAACCACUUCCCCUCUUUCGUUUUCUUUUCUAGUAUGAGUUCCAGAGGCAGAAAUAGAUUAGGGAAAAACCUGUAGUUAAUUUCUUCUCUUUAUUGUGAUGUUUAUCCUGACUAUUCAUUCUUUCAUGCUGUUUUGCUGAAGAGUUUUACAUUGUUAAUGAAAUGCUUGUUUGCUUGGAAAAAAAAAAAAAGGAAAAAGAAAUAAAGAACCACUAGAUACCAAAUGGAUUGGCCUUAUUGAAAGAAUAAUGUAAAAGUGAAAGGUCUAUAAAAUCACUAACUGAAACUGCUGUAAUUUGAUUUCAGUGUGUUUCUUUUGACAUCCUUCUAAGUGUGUCAUAAGGAACAUCAGGUCUACCCAUAUCAAUCCCAGUAUUAGACUUUCCUCCAGCAUCUGGAGUUUCUGCUACUUUAUCCUAGGUGCUCUGUGCCAAAUGUGCUAGGCUCCCACUGUCACUGAGGAGACAAGGACACUGGGGAAAAGUAGGGCUACUCAUCAGUAGCUGCUUUUUGUUCUGAAAUUCAUCAUCCCCAGGCACAUGUCAAACAUGAGACUUUCACGUGCGCAAGCUGACAUGCUGUAGACCUCUUGUUUCCAGCAGACUGCACAGGCAGGGGUGCAGCACAUCUAGUAUGUGGUAGAAUAGGUGGAAUCAGAUCUUUCCUGUAACAAGCUGUACGUUUUGAAUUGAAUUUUGCAGUAUCACAAGGGACUGAGGGGAAUGUGCAUGUACUGGAAAUGUGUAAAUUGACAAUGUAUGUUGGAUUACCAGCAAAUAGACUGUAGUGCAGUGGAUGACUCCAAACAAUCUAAAAGGAGUUCUGAAAUCAAGAGAAAUGCCUAGACUUGCUAUAUUGAUGCUUGUCAAGUGCCUGAACAGCAGCAAGUGGUCUAGCAAA